UGAUGCACCAUGCCGCGUGUAUGAAGAAGGCCUUCGGGUUGUAAAGUACUUUCAGUUGUGAGGAAGGUUUCGUAGUUAAUAACUGCGUUGCUUGACGUUAGCAACAGAAGAAGCACCGGCUAACUCCGUGCCAGCAGCCGCGGUAAUACGGAGGGUGCGAGCGUUAAUCGGAAUUACUGGGCGUAAAGCGCAUGCAGGUGGUUUGUUAAGUCAGAUGUGAAAGCCCGGGGCUCAACCUCGGAAGGUCAUUUGAAACUGGCAAACUAGAGUACUGUAGAGGGGGGUAGAAUUUCAGGUGUAGCGGUGAAAUGCGUAGAGAUCUGAAGGAAUACCAGUGGCGAAGGCGGCCCCCUGGACAGAUACUGACACUCAGAUGCGAAAGCGUGGGGAGCAAACAGGAUUAGAUACCCUGGUAGUCCACGCCGUAAACGAUGUCUACUUGGAGGUUGUGGCCUUGAGCCGUGGCUUUCGGAGCUAACGCGUUAAGUAGACCGCCUGGGGAGUACGGUCGCAAGAUUAAAACUCAAAUGAAUUGACGGGGGCCCGCACAAGCGGUGGAGCAUGUGGUUUAAUUCGAUGCAACGCGAAGAACCUUACCUACUCUUGACAUCCAGAGAACUUUCCAGAGAUGGAUUAGUGCCUUCGGGAACUCUGAGACAGGUGCUGCAUGGCUGUCGUCAGCUCGUGUUGUGAAAUGUUGGGUUAAGUCCCGCAACGAGCGCAACCCUUAUCCUUGUUUGCCAGCACGUAAUGGUGGGAACUCCAGGGAGACUGCCGGUGAUAAACCGGAGGAAGGUGGGGACGACGUCAAGUCAUCAUGGCCCUUACGAGUAGGGCUACACACGUGCUACAAUGGCGCAUACAGAGGGCAGCGAACUUGCGAAAGUAAGCGAAUCCCAAAAAGUGCGUCGUAGUCCGGAUUGGAGUCUGCAACUCGACUCCAUGAAGUCGGAAUCGCUAGUAAUCGUGGAUCAGAAUGCCACGGUGAAUACGUUCCCGGGCCUUGUACACACCGCCCGUCACACCAUGGGAGUGGGCUGCAAAAGAAGUAGGUAGUUUAACCUUCGGGAGGACGCUUACCACUUUGGGUCAUGAUGGGUGACG
rnacentral:rRNA from 1 species